AAUGAACGCUGGCGGCAGGCCUAACACAUGCAAGUCGAACGAGAGGCGGACGGGUGAGUAAUGCCCGGGACAAUGCCUGAUGGAGGGGGAUAACACCUGGACAAGGUAGCUAAUACCGCAUACCAUCAGAAGGACCCAGAUGGGAUUAGCUAGUUGGUGGGGUAACGGCUCACCAAGGCGACGAUCCCUAGCUUGUGGGAGAGGAUGACAAGCCACACUAGAACGGAUACACGGUCCGGACUCCUCCGGGAGGCAGCGGUGGGGAUUGUUGCACUAGUGACUGAAGCCUGCUCCAGCCAUGCCGCGUGUAUUAAGGAUGCCUUCGUGUUGUAAAGUACUUUCAGCGGGGAUGCGUUACUCGCUGAAUAAGCACCGGCUAACUCCGUGCCAGCAGCCGCGGUAAUAC
rnacentral:rRNA from 1 species